GAGCUCACUGAUGUCACUCUCCACAGACUAGCACACAGCCAUACUUGACCUGAAGUCAUCAGCAGCAAGAUGGACAUUGUCAAUCUGCAGAAUGAUGUAGGCACUGUCCACAGAAUUUGCGAAGGUGUGAGCCCUCAGAUCCUCCAUGGUCUUGAAAUAAUGCCCCCAGUCUCUGACCAGGGUCCCUUCUUCUCCAGGUGUUCUUGGACUUUGCACUCCAGGCCCUGAUCAUCAGCCUCGAGGCUCUUCAUCCUCUCCAGGUGCUACAGAAGGGUUGGUGUAGCAAGGACAAUCGAUUCCCUGGGUCAAGGUGGUGGUGUUUAUGUUCUUCCUGGAUAUGCGGCAAUUGCUGACAAUGCUGGGCUGGCACCAAGGAUCCUGCUGAUUCUUUGACUGUUCCUCCCACUGGCUGUACUUGAAUGGCCCAAAAGGCCGUGUGACCCAGUUUGUUGCACAACCGCCAAGCUCCUGGAUCCUGAAGUCCCUGCCACUCUGAACCACGAUGUUCCAAUCAAGUGAUCUUGUUUACCUUGGCAACACAUGUUCUUGGCCACAGAAGCAGAGCAGUAUGGGUUGAUGCAUAAACACAAGAAGUUUAAAAAGGAAAAAAAAAAGGUUUAUACCAGGUCAGAAUUAGCAAGAAGAAUUAACCAAAAGGGGAAAAUGUAAAACCAGCAGGAAGAAUGUCUGCAAUCACAUGAGAGGAACAUGCCAACAAAGAUUUCUGUUUAUACGAGAGAAUUAUUAAUAGAUGACCAAAGACUUUUAAAAUCCAGUGCAACCUUGGCUAGGGCUGUGGCUCAGUUGGUUGGAGUGCUGUCCCAUGCACCAGAAGGUUGCGAGUUCGAUCCCCGGUCAGGGCACAUACCUAGGCUGCGGGUUUCAUCCCUAGUCUGGGUGUGUAUGAUCAAUGUCUCCCUUCCUGUCUCUCUAAAAUCAAUAAACAUAUCCUUAGCUGAGGAUUUAAAAAGAAAUCAAGUACAGAUGUUUAUUUUCCAGUUUUCUAGACAUAAAUACUAAGUGUAGCAUCUGUCAGGAACAGCUUUUUUAGGUACGGGGGAGGUCUUAAAGUUGCAUGAAACUUUUCGCCUUCACUAAUUUGCUUAAACAUGUUUCUUUACUUAGUAUUUUUUCCUCUCCACUGCAAGAGUUUGACCAUUGUUCAUUCGGUGGCGAGUCAAUGAUGGACUAAAGGAGUGUGAAGGGAUGUUCCCUCCUUCGAGGACUUAGAGAUGCUAAGAGAUGGAAAACAUCCUGGUUGGAAAAAGUCCAUGAGAUUCCUGGGCCUGCACCUGUGUGAGGUCCAACUGGUGCUGAUUGCUUCCACCCAAAAUGCAUCGAGGAGUAUGUUCUGAACUAGACAUCUGACACCAUAGGACGGUGACUAUUUUUAACUGCGAUGCUCCCAGGAGAGAGCUCCAGUUUAAUAGUCUCCUUUAUGAAGUUUCAAUCCAGGUUUCAUUGUGAUUUACACCAGUGCCACUCCUAAGAGUCACUCUCUGAGGACAUGAGAGGCUUGGUCCAGAAAGUAAUCAAUAUACUACUUCCUUCAUGAAGAAAGUUGGGCUUUAAAAAAAACCAGUCAGCGGAAGCACAGUGUACUUAGGGAGGUGGUGGACAGAGAGUAUGGCACAAGCUCCUUCUCCUGGUGCAGAAUGUUAGGUAUGCAGCCCGACGUCUGUCCGCAGACUGACGUCUGUCCCCAGGAGGCACUUGGAGAAGCAUCAACAUGCACAUGACUGUCACCCAUGCCACCCUUCCGAUCUCCAAUUAUUAAUCUAUCUUAAUUUUGAACCAAAUACAUGCUGAAGCAAGUACAGACUUACAGAAAAGUUGCAAGAAUAGAACCAAGUAUAUAGAACUGUACAGUUUUCGGCCAUACCCUUUUUAAGUGUCAGCUCGGAUGGGCUUGCUAGCAAAGACUUCAGUUCUGUCCCAUGUUCCAGUCUCUCUAGAAUGAGUUUUGUGCCCUUGACUUUAUAAAGACUACGUUUUGUAGAAUGACCCUCAACUUGAGUUUGUCCUGUGCCUCCUCGUGGCGAGCCCCAGGCUACAGCACGUUCCGCACUUCGAGCGGAACGCCACCAAAGUGAUUUUGUGUUCUCACUGCAACAUAUUGGGUGGCCCCUGAUGUCCCUUUGUCCCAAUAGCAACUUCGAUCACUUGAUUAGGAUAGUGUCUGGCCCAUUUCUCUACUAUAAAGUUACUUUUUUCUUUUGUAAUUAAUAUGUAUCACGGAUUUCCCAUUACUCAUUCCACUUUCACCAGCUGGUUUUAGCGCCCAUUGAUGUUCUUGCCUGAAUUUAUUACGAUGAUGUAUGUUUGCCUGAAGGUAAUUUUCUAAUCGGCUCAUUCCUUACACAUUUAGUAGUUGGCAUUCUAUAGCAAAGAGAAAAUGUCUCAUUUCCCAUUUUUAAAUUCAUUUGUUCGUAAACAAAUGAGUUAUUACUCAUUGUAAUCUAGUACUCAGUGGGUUACAAUCCAUCGUUGUCAUUAAUUAUUUUGAUGCUCAAUUUGACCCAGAUUUUGACAGUAGGAUCCCUGUGAAAGUGGCUUCUGCGAACUUCUGAUGCGUGCCCGCCGUUCUAGGGGCAUUUCCUCCGCAAUGAGCUGUUCCCACGGCUCAUCGUGUGCGUCCCCUGCCCAGCCCUGAGCCGGCCGGCUCCCUAGGAAGCCUUGUCUCCUUUUCAUGGAAAGUGAAAGUUCAAAGCCCAGAUCUGCAUGUUCAGUGUGUGUGCCCUUUGCUCCUGGGAUGUUACCUCCCCCGGGGCUUCUCAGAGCUAGGAAGUGUGUUUGUUUUCACCCCUGCAUAUUCACAUACAUACACAUAUGUAUGGGUGCAUGGAUACUUUUAUAUCUAUCUCCUGUCUCGAUUUCUCUGGGUCCCCUUAUCCUUGGGAUGCCUAUUUGCUCAGCGCCCUGUAGGCAGCCAUCCUCCCAACUGCAUGAGGCUGCCUCUUUGCUCUGCCCUGACCUUAUCCUUGCACAGGCCGUCACUGCUAGCUGUCACCAGCUGCCCCUGCCACCUUGCUCCAGAGUCACCCUUGCUCCGGCCCUCUCACCCCCUCUUGUGCCUUCCCGAUGACUGUCAGCCCGAACCAGGAAGUUGCGAGAGGAUGCCAAACUUUUGUUUCUUAAUUAGAAGAAACAGUAAGCAAAGGCUAAAUCAGGAUUAUCGGCAAUGGUUGCUCCUUUGCUCGCUGAUACACCUUUGGGAUUUAACCAAUAAGACAGCCCACCCACCAGUGUGGUUUGGAUAUUGACACUAAAGGGUCUUCUGUGUCCCCGAGUCUCCCCCAGGACCGUAAUUAUGGCCAGGAGGGUGGGAGGAGGGAGGCACUUGUGCGUCCUGCAGCGCACCUGGGCCAGGCUACACGAGCAGGGACACGGCUGUCAGCGCCGCUUGCACCAUUGUGGACUCAGCAGAAUGCUCUUCAGCUGGUCUAGACAUGCAGCACGCCUAAUGAAAGACGGAGCAAAAACAAACGAUUUUUCAUUGGUUCUCACCAGAAGGCUAUACUCUUCGCUCUCUGUUGAAAUGAGCAUCAGAAAAAGUACAGCGUUUCCACAGUCAGAGAUGACUGUUACCGAAUUAUGAGCUCAUAUUUCCUGUCACUUGGGCAACAAGCAUUUGCCAGCUCUGCCAGGUUGAUGGUAAACUCCUUGAGGGCAAGGGGCAGGGUAGGGGCCUUAGGUAAUCACCCACGGUGACUUGCAAUUAGUGGCUGAUUAGUAGUUGAUUCCCCUGUCCUGCUAGACCAUUAACCCUAACACCCGGUGAGGACUCGUGUCUCUUUCCCCACUGUGUUCUAGUCACCUCCUUUGUUCACGCUUUUGACAGGACUGAAAGCUAUAACCUUCUGAAGUGGUUAAAGGGGCAGCAGCAGAAGUAAAGUCCUUUUCUAUUUUACCUCCUCUCCCUCCAUUCCUCCUGGCCUCUCCCCUUGCCUCUGAUUUAAAACCUGGCAGAAGCUGAUGCAAGAAUGACCUUGAUCUAGGUGGGCAAAUGACCCUACUGCUGAGCUGUGCUACUUCAAGUUCAAGGCUGAGUGGCAAGACCCCCAGCACCAGACCGUAGUCAGGGCCCUCAUUAUGGGCCAGCUACUGGCACAAACUCUCUGUUCAACUUUCAGCAAGUCUCGUAACCUCUCUGGGCCUGGUUGUCCGCAUCUGUGAAGUUGGAGUGUGGACUUCCUGGUCUCUUCAUGGUCUGUGGCUCUACAGUUGUUUCACCUGGGUCUAAUGAAAUGCAGAGCUUCGUGGCCACGUGGCACAAGGAAGGUAGAGUGACAAGGAAAAUUGAGAGUGAAAGUGUAGCCAAUGACAACCCUAGAAAGACCAUGCUCUGGACACUAACAUCCAAAACGCCCUUUCUGUGUGUGUGGAUGUGUGUGUUUGCAAUUACAGGAAGGAAGCACAGCAGAACGCCACUUACAGUCAGUGCUGAAGGUUCCUCUAAGAGUUAGAGGAAAAGACCAUCCCUAGAAUAGCUACAGCAAUUGUGAAAAAGAAGAAUGAAGUAGGAAGUAACACUCUAUCUGCCAAGGUCUGACUGUGUGGCCACUGCAACCCAGACUGCGUGGUAUCGGCAGAGGGAGAGAUGCACACAUCAAUGGGGCAGAAUAGGGAACCCAAAAUCAAACCACGCAAACAUGCCGGCUGCACUUUGCCAAAGAUGUGAAAGCAAUUCGAUGGAGGGAGGUCAGACUCCGCAGCAAAUGGCGCUGCAACAGUGGGUACCCACAAGGGAAGAGGAAGGAAACUUGACCUA